GACGAACGCUGGCGGCGUGCCUAACACAUGCAAGUCGAACGGGGUGAUUCCUUCGGGGAUCACUUAGUGGCGAACGGGUGAGUAACGCGUGAGAAACCUGCCUUUCAGUGGGGGACAACAGUUGGAAACGACUGCUAAUACCGCAUAAUGUUAUUUGGGGGCAUCCUUGAAUAACCAAAGCUUUAUGUGCUGAAAGAUGGUCUCGCGUCUGAUUAGCUAGUUGGUGAGGUAACGGCUCACCAAGGCGACGAUCAGUAGCCGGUCUGAGAGGAUGAACGGCCACAUUGGGACUGAGAUACGGCCCAGACUCCUACGGGAGGCAGCAGUGGGGAAUAUUGGGCAAUGGGGGGAAACCCUGACCCAGCAACGCCGCGUGAAGGAAGAAGGCCUCGGGUUGGUAAACGUUACUUUUACCUACGGUACGGAAGAACGUAGACGGUACC
rnacentral:rRNA from 1 species